rnacentral:rRNA from 1 species
GACGAAGGGGGCUAGCGUUGUUCGGAAUUACUGGGCGUAAAGGGCGCGCAGGCGGCUUUGCAAGUCAGGCGUUAAAGACCCAGGCUCAACCUGGGGAAUGCGCUUGAUACUGCGAGGCUUGAGAUCGGAAGAGGAGAGUGGAAUUCCCAGUGUAGAGGUGAAAUUCGUAGAUAUUGGGAAGAACACCAGUGGCGAAGGCGGCUCUCUGGUCCGAUUCUGACGCUGAGGCGCGAAAGCGUGGGGAGCAAACAGG